GUCAGACUGUCACCUGUCGCUUAUUGCUAACACUGGUCUUGCCUGUAUUAAUACCUUCCCUGUCCUCAUCCCAUGUAAUUUGUGAUUCUUAACCUAAAGUGAUGUUGGGAAACCUGAUCAUGAGGAGCUUGUUUGAUUUCUAUCUGAAAUUGGGAAUUUAGUCCCUCAACAACCAUUUACUGGGUCCCUGUACCUGUGCAGCAGCAGCAGUACCUGGGUGCAAGGCACAAGAUGGUGCAAGGGCUGAAGAAGAAAUCAUUUGUGAACCAUCUACACAGUGAGAAGUGUCUGAACUUCAGUGCAGAAGACCACAGCAACCAUGGGCGUGUAUAUUGGUAUGGAGAAACCGUAAUAUCUAAGCGAUGUGGAAAACUGUACCAAUGGAGAACAGCAAUCCCGCCCAGUCUCCAGGACUGCUAGGCUUUGCAUUAACCCAGGAAUGCCUGGCGCUGUUUCUGAAACAACC
rnacentral:lncRNA from 1 species